GGGCUCGGCGCCGAGGGGCGGUAGGGGCUCGCGCUGAGGCGUGGUUGGAACUGUAGCUUUGGAUGAAUUACUUGGUUGAUUUCAAGCACUACUUCAUGUGUCGUUUUCCUUAUUUUUUAGAAGAAAGAGUAAAGCCCAAAAAGAAAGAGUCGUGCAAAGGCAACAAGUACUGUAUGACUUCUGUCACAUCUGACAGGUUAGACAUAAAGAAUGGUGUUUCCUCCAGGUUUUUUUUUAUACCUGCUGGUACUAUAAGCUUUUAGAGGGAAAAUUUUUAUAGUGUGCAUUGUUUUCUUUGGUUUUUCCUAGCAAAGUACUGAAUGAAGGCGAUGCUUCAUUUAUCCUGAAAGUUACACAGGGUCUUACAGAUGCACUGGUGGAAUAUUGUCAGCGGUCUGCAUCAAACAAAGUAAUGUGAAUUAUGCUUUCGUUUUCUUCUACAAAUCUACAGAUUCUGGCAAAUAUGCAUUUUUUUGUUGCAGGUAUUUUAAUUAAACGAAAUUUCCGUGGAGACUAUAUUGUAAGUUUUGCUCAUUAAAUACUUGGAUUUUUGUAGUGAGUAUAGGAUAAACUUAAAGCUUUCCUCUUGAACACUCUUAAUACUUUCUGUUCAAACAUGCUUUCAUUUUAAUAGAAGGUAAAAAUCAUUUUGUCUCUUCUUUCCUAUGCUUUUUCUGCUACUUUUGUCCCUUUUAAUUUCAACUUGAGCUUUUCUCAUCUCUGCUCACCUCCAUGACAUUCUUUGUUCUGUAUCCCAUUUCCGUUCCCAGUCUUCACUUCAUUCACGUUGUAAAGAAACAUUAUCAACGUUGGUUUCUUUCUUAAACGACUUUUUGUCCUACUCCUUGGGCUGUUUCCUUUCUCCACUAUUAGAGGUGCCUUUCUCCACUAUUAGAAACCCAGAUUUUCCCCUCUCUGCUGUUACUUUUGAUCGACUUGUCUUUACGUAGACAUAGUUUUGAGUACUUAUUUGGGGCUGCCGUAGUUGCCACAUUCGUUCCCAAAACCUCCAGUUUACAUUCUAUUAUACCAUAAUCUCCACAGUUUCCAAACUUGGAAUGACUUUUCAUUCCUAUGUUGUCAACAGGGAUGAUAGGCGCUUCCCUCUUCUUGGUGAUCCGUUCGACAUCU